rnacentral:rRNA from 1 species
GACGAACGCUGGCGGCGUGCCUAAUACAUGCAAGUAGAACGCUGAAGGAGGAGCUUGCUUCUCUGGAUGAGUUGCGAACGGGUGAGUAACGCGUAGGUAACCUGCCUGGUAGCGGGGGAUAACUAUUGGAAACGAUAGCUAAUACCGCAUAAUAGUAGAUGUUGCAUGACAUUUGCUUAAAAGGUGCAAUUGCAUCACUACCAGAUGGACCUGCGUUGUAUUAGCUAGUUGGUGAGGUAACGGCUCACCAAGGCGACGAUACAUAGCCGACCUGAGAGGGUGAUCGGCCACACUGGGACUGAGACACGGCCCAGACUCCUACGGGAGGCAGCAGUAGGGAAUCUUCGGCAAGGGACGGAAGUCUGACCGAGCAACGCCGCGGGAGUGAAGAAGGGUUUCGGAUCGUAAAGCUCUGUUGUAAGAGAAGAACGAGUGUGAGAGUGGAAAGUUCACACUGUGACGGUAUCUUACCAGAAAGGGACGGCUAACUACGUG